UGCCGACGGAGGCCGCGGGUGCGGCCUCAACCAUCCGCAUCCAGGGGGAAAAGGGAGGAGGAGAGUGGACGAGCGGCCGCCGCUUAGACCUUCCUCCGUCCGGAAUCGAGUCCGCUGAUCCGCGGCCGAACUCAUUUAAGAGAGUGUGUUCGAGGCUUCCAAUUGUUGAAUCGAUGGAUGCUGGCGCUGGGUUCUUCCAUCGGUUCUUCUUUCCGCAUAGCCAAAUCGCUCGUUUUGGAGAGCAGCAAGUGCUGAUAACGUGUAAAGAGGAAAAAGAGAGAGGGGAACGAAUGGAUUGAAUACAUAGUGGAACGAAGCAAGCACGGCGAGCCCAAAAGGCAAACUGACGCGGCGCAAAGUGGCGAGUACGUUGCGACCUUGUGUCGCUCUUUUGCGGGAUGAGCCGUUGGCGACCACGACGCCGGCGGGUGGGUCGAUGCUGCUACUUGGGCUGGUACGUAUCGCGAGCCUGAGCAGGCCGGGGCACGUACGGUCCCCGGCAAGGGCCGAAAAGGCGUGCGUUUUUCCGGCCGUCGCAGUGGAUACAUAACUGCACCCAUGCAUGCAUGCAUGGUACACGGGCACGACUGCACGAGGAUCCACGUUGACCACACGGACGUUGUAGCUGUAGCCUGUAGGAGUACGUGCGAGCCAGCUCCUGCAUGCUGCACAAGUGCACAUCGAGGCAUGCAUCGACCAACACCAAAGGUGGACAACGACACCGGCGCGUGCAGCAGGGAGCCAAGCGUCUGUCGCCGUGCCCGUGAGCACGUACGUGGGUGCAUGCGCUAGAAUCUGUGUUUUGAGGUUUGUGUACAAUGUGCUUAGACUGUCUAUAUAAUCUUUUACUCUCUCCUUCUCAUAAUAUAACAACGUUUUUUACAUUAUUAUGGGACAGAGGGAGUAGAUAGUAUACAUGACAGAUUUUGGUGUGGUGAUUUUCUCUCCUUCUGAAACUGAAAACUUGUUUAAAUAGACUCGUUAACAUAUUCUAGGAAGCUUUUCCUUCAACAUAUCCAAUG